AUUUAGUAGAAUAAUUAAAUCACAGCAACUUGUAUUGUAGAAAUAACAAAAUUUUUUUCUAGAUUAACUAACUUCUUUUCUGGGAGGAAAAGAGGAAAAACCUUGUUGACAUCAAAGCCUUUGGAUAUCUACUGGACACUGAACUUGAGAUUUCCUUGAAGAUACUGACUACAUGUAGAACCUAUGGUCCUGAAAGCGAAAAUGAAGACUUGAUCCAGAAGGAAGAACUGAAAUUUAAAGACAAAGAAGUUCUCUGAGAAAUGAGCCCACUGUGAAAUGAUUGCUAUUUCUUGUUAGUAUAGCAAUGGUGCUAAUGAACUCCAUACAAAGUCCCAGCAUACUUAAAACUCCCAUGUCCAUCUGGUAACACAAAUAUGAGCCCAGUCAAGAUCCACCUUAUUUAUUAGUGGUGUGACAAGCACCCUGCAAAUGCGAGCACACAGCUUCCAGAGACGGGCUGCCCAGCCAGGCCUGUGCCUGCCUGAAUGGCCAACGUGCCUGUCACCUACCUUUACAGUAUGUCUCUAUGUGUAUGUCCUGGUCACCUGAGGCUGUCCUUGCAAUCAAAAGGGAAAACCAGAAACUUUGAUGGUGGGAUAUAGCCGGUUGCUGAUGACUAGAGACAUUACGUUUUGGAGUGCAAAUUUUUCAUAAAGUGAGUCCAGGAUUCACUAAAUUCACUUGGUUGGAUGCGACCCAUCACCCAUGAGUGUUUAAUUAGCCUUGGCUUUUACAUACUGGUAGCAAAAAGUCAUCUCUGUCUGAGAAUACUGCCUGUCUAUUUAGAUAAAGAAGGAAAAUAAUAGUUUGGUUACUUCCAGGGUAUCCAGAACUUCUGCUAAAUAAACAAGACUUGGAAGUAUUGUGAUAUUUAUUUAAAUCAUGCUCUUCGUAGCCAUUUUUUUCAUCCAACAUCUUCUGCUGGUAUUGUCAUGGAGACCAUGGCUGUUAAUGUCAUGCAGUCCUAUAAUAUACACAGAAUGAGUAUUGCAUCUCAUAAUUCAUAAAGCCAGGUUUAUACAGUGUGACAAUCCUCACCUCACAAAGCAGAAUUAUAGCUGUACCUUUGU